UAGGGAAUCUUCCGCAAUGGACGCAAGUCUGACGGAGCAACGCCGCGUUAGUGAAGAAGGAUUUCGGUUCGUAAAACUCUGUUGUUAGAGAAGAACAGCGCAUAGAGUAACUGUUAUGCGUGUGACGGUAUCUAACCAGAAAGCCACGGCUAACUACGUGCCAGCAGCCGCGGUAAUACGUAGGUGGCAAGCGUUGUCCGGAUUUAUUGGGCGUAAAGCGAGCGCAGGCGGUCAAUUAAGUCUGAUGUGAAAGCCCCCGGCUCAACCGGGGAGGGUCAUUGGAAACUGGUUGACUUGAGUGCAGAAGAGGAGAGUGGAAUUCCAUGUGUAGCGGUGAAAUGCGUAGAUAUAUGGAGGAACACCAGUGGCGAAGGCGACUCUCUGGUCUGUAACUGACGCUGAGGCUCGAAAGCGUGGGUAGCAAACAGG
rnacentral:rRNA from 1 species